GAUGAAGAACGUAGCGAAAUGCGAUACGUAAUGUGAAUUGCAAAUUCAGUGAAUCAUCGAGUCUUUGAACGCACAUUGCGCCCCCUGGUAUUCCGGGGGGCAUGCCUGUCCGAGCGUCAUUGCUGCCCUCAAGCACGGCUUGUGUGUUGGGCCCCGUCCUCCGAUCCCGGGGGACGGGCCCGAAAGGCAGCGGCGGCACCGCGUCCGGUCCUCGAGCGUAUGGGGCUUUGUCACCCGCUCUGUAGGCCCGGCCGGCGCUUGCCGAUCAACCCAAAUUUUUAUCCAGGUUGACCUCGGAUCAGGAAGGGAUACCCGCUGAACUUAAGCAUAUCAAUAAGCGGAGGA
rnacentral:misc_RNA from 1 species